GCCGGAGGAUGCAAUCGUUAUCCGGAAUCAUUGGGCGUAAAGCGUCCGCAGGUGGAUUGAUAAGUCGGCCGUUAAAGCCUGGGGCUAACCCCGGAAAGGCGGUGGAAACUGUCAGUCUAGAGGCAGGUAGGGGUAGAGGGAAUUCCCAGUGUAGCGGUGAAAUGCGUAGAGAUUGGGAAGAACACCAGUGGCGAAAGCGCUCUACUGGACCUGCACUGACACUCAGGGACGAAAGCUAGGGGAGAGAAAGGG
rnacentral:rRNA from 1 species